GGCCACUCCCACUCCAACAAGGCCACACCUCCUAACGGUGCCACUCCCUGGGCCAAGCAUAUUCAAACCACCAGAGAAGGAGGAGGAGGAGAAGGAGGAGGAGGAUGAGAAGAAAAAGGAGGAGGAAGAAGGAGAGGAGGAGCAGGAAGAAAAGAAGGAGCAGGAGGAGAAGGAGGAGGAACAGGAAGAGGAAGACUUGAAUACGUUGAGGGAGAGAUACCAUGAGACUCUGGCUGAGUGCUUGCUUUCUGGGGCCAUUUCUAGAACCCUGGAUCCACCCUGGUGGGGGAUACAUCUGGAGGGGCACCUUGACGGGGUUGAACUGGUAGCCCCAGAGACCGAACACCAAGGUGAAAAGUCACUGAAGCCAGCAGGUGACAGACUCCGACUGAGUGGAAAGAGAUGGAGGAGCCCGAAGUGGGCUCUCCAGCUUCGCCUCCUCUACAAGCCAUAAAGACUUUUAAUUAUUGAAGAAUGAUUCUCGAGUCUGGCCAAUGUAUCAGCCUCUGGCAAGAAUAAAGAGUC